GUAACACCUUGUAUUUGGAGCUGCAUUGUCCAGCUGUAGCACCAUCUGUUGUGGUCACUUCAGAUAACGGAAAAAACACGGUUGAUUUUGGUGAUGUGGCAGUAGGCCAAACAAUACUGAAGGAAACUACAAUACAAAAUAUCUCCCCAGAAAACCUGGAAGUAUCCUUGUUUGGAACACAGGAGUUAAUCUGUCAUUCAGUUGCUGUUCAU
rnacentral:lncRNA from 1 species